ACUUUGAUAUUAUUUAUACUUAUAUACACAGAUAAAAUACGAUAUAUGUCUAUAUUAUAAUUACAGAGUAAAGUACAUAUAUUUGUAGGAAAAGGAACACCAAGUGAGGACAGGCUGGAAUAAAGGGAAGAAUGAUCAUGGUUAGGACAAGAAAAUAUAAGGUGAUUUAGAUCCCCAACAUCACACCCACAACUACAUGCCGAAGAUUCCACAAUUCCAAGCCUCGCAAGACGGGCUGGGGUACAUACGUGCCCCAGACGCAUCCGUAUUAAAACAGACGUAGCCGUCCUGCCAAGCUUCAAACCGCAGAACCACGGCCGCAGUGGUAUCGUAGGCUGGAUUAGGUAACAGUGAUGAAGUUUUGUCCUAAUUUGCAUGAUGAGAGGAGUGAAAAAAUUAUGUUUAAAUGGGAACCUGGCCAAUGCUUGUAAAGCACUCUUAGAAUCGGUAAAGAUGACUGUGUUUGCUAAUUUCAUCAUCAAAAUGUAUUCUAUUGCUUUUAAUAGUCCAAAGCAUUCUCCAGUGAACACUGAAGAUUCCGGGGGAAGUUUAAUUUUUUGGACGAUUUUAUAUUGUAGAUGAUAUACCCCUACACCAACACAGCCAGGAGUUGUAUGUUUUGAUGCAUCUGUAUAAAUUUGAUGCCAACAGGGCCAGUUCUUAUCUAUUAAAUAGUUCAAAUAGCUG